GCGGACUCUUCGAGUAUUUGCUGCACUAAAUAAUUAUAAAAAGCGUUGUUAUUAAGCUAUUUUUAAACGUGUACAGGUGUUAUAAAUAUAAUGAUGCCACAUCACCAAGGUUUUCUGCUCUCCAGCAAGGACUCCUGUGCCUGGCAUUAACAAGAAUUUGAAAUCUCGGGCAACAGAAUUUUAUCUGACAUGGCGGUGACCUGUCAGUACGAAGCAAACAGAAGACGGACCAUACUGCAAGGGUUGCUUGUUAGUCUGCGAAAUAACUGGUACACAUCUAUCAGAGGUACGUGUUGAGACUGCCGAGUGAGGAACGGUUGCCGUCCUGCGCACACCCUUCAGCAGCGGAGCCGAGGGGUGCGCGCCACACACGUGAUCAGUGACCACUCGUC